rnacentral:rRNA from 1 species
AAUAGAUACCUGGUAGUCCACGCCGUAAACGAUGUCGACUUGGAGGUUGUUCCCUUGAGGAGUGGCUUCCGGAGCUAACGCGUUAAGUCGACCGCCUGGGGAGUACGGCCGCAAGGUUAAAACUCAAAUGAAUUGACGGGGGCCCGCACAAGCGGUGGAGCAUGUGGUUUAAUUCGAUGCAACGCGAAGAACCUUACCUACUCUUGACAUCCAGAGAACUUAGCAGAGAUGCUUUGGUGCCUUCGGGAACUCUGAGACAGGUGCUGCAUGGCUGUCGUCAGCUCGUGUUGUGAAAUGUUGGGUUAAGUCCCGCAACGAGCGCAACCCUUAUCCUUUGUUGCCAGCGGUCCGGCCGGGAACUCAAAGGAGACUGCCAGUGAUAAACUGGAGGAAGGUGGGGAUGACGUCAAGUCAUCAUGGCCCUUACGAGUAGGGCUACACACGUGCUACAAUGGCGUAUACAAAGAGAAGCGACCUCGCGAGAGCAAGCGGACCUCAUAAAGUACGUCGUAGUCCGGAUUGGAGU